GACGAACGCUGGCGGCGUGCUUAACACAUGCAAGUCGAACGGAAAGGCCCUGCUUUUGUGGGGUGCUCGAGUGGCGAACGGGUGAGUAACACGUGAGUAACCUGCCCUUGACUUUGGGAUAACUUCAGGAAACUGGGGCUAAUACCGGAUAGGAGCUCCUGCUGCAUGGUGGGGGUUGGAAAGUUUCGGCGGUUGGGGAUGGACUCGCGGCUUAUCAGCUUGUUGGUGGGGUAGUGGCUUACCAAGGCUUUGACGGGUAGCCGGCCUGAGAGGGUGACCGGGCACCGGGUGUCGGGGCUGCGGCCACGCCGUGGACGGGGGCGAGCAGUGGAGAGUAGUACACAAUGGACCGCAGCGGGAUGCAGCAACGUCGCGGGCGGCAUGACGGCCUUCGGGUUGCAGCCCGCUUUCUCCUGGGAGGAGGGGGAGGUGACAGUAGUAGGACAAGCAGCACCGGGUAACUACGGGCCAGCAGCCGAUGUACUAGCUCACACCGCACACCCAGACC
rnacentral:rRNA from 1 species